rnacentral:rRNA from 1 species
CCUACGGGAGGCAGCAGUGGGGGAUAUUGCACAAUGGGGGGAACCCUGAUGCAGCGACGCCGCGUGGGUGAAGAAGCGCCUCGGCGCGUAAAGCCCUGUCAGCAGGGAAGAAAAUGACGGUACCUGAAGAAGAAGCCCCGGCUAACUACGUGCCAGCAGCCGCGGUAAUACGUAGGGGGCAAGCUUUAUCCGGAUUUACUGGGUGGAAAGGGGGCGCAGACGGCGAUGCAAGCCAGGAGUGAAAGCCCGGGGCCCAACCCCGGGACUGCUCUUGGAACUGCGUGGCUGGAGUGCAGGAGGGGCAGGCGGAAUUCCUGGUGUAGCGGUGAAAUGCGUAGAUAUCAGGAGGAACACCGGUGGCGAAGGCGGCCUGCUGGACUGCAACUGACGUUGAGGCCCGAAAGCGUGGGGAGCAAACAGGAUUAGAUACCCUAGUAGUC